rnacentral:rRNA from 1 species
UACGGAGGGGGCUAGCGUUGUUCGGAAUUACUGGGCGUAAAGCGCACGUAGGCGGCUUUGCAAGUUAGAGGUGAAAGCCCGGGGCUCAACUCCGGAAUUGCCUUUAAAACUGCAUCGCUAGAAUUGUGGAGAGGUAAGUGGAAUUCCGAGUGUAGAGGUGAAAUUCGUAGAUAUUCGGAGGAACACCAGAGGCGAAGGCGGCCGGCUGGGCUGUACCUGACGCUGAGGCGCGAAAGCGUGGGGAGCGAACCGG